GAUGAACGCUGGCGGCGUGCCUAAUACAUGCAAGUCGAGCGAACUGAUUAGAAGCUUGCUUCUAUGACGUUAGCGGCGGACGGGUGAGUAACACGUGGGCAACCUGCCUGUAAGACUGGGAUAACUUCGGGAAACCGAAGCUAAUACCGGAUAGGAUCUUCUCCUUCAUGGGAGAUGAUUGAAAGAUGGUUUCGGCUAUCACUUACAGAUGGGCCCGCGGUGCAUUAGCUAGUUGGUGAGGUAACGGCUCACCAAGGCAACGAUGCAUAGCCGACCUGGGAGGGGGAUCGGCCACACUGGGACUGAGACACGGCCCAGACUCCUACGGGAGGCAGCAGUAGGGAAUCUUCCGCAAUGGACGAAAGUCUGACGGAGCAACGCCGCGUGAGUGAUGAAGGCUUUCGGGUCGUAAAACUCUGUUGUUAGGGAAGAACAAGUACAAGAGUAACUGCUUGUACCUUGACGGUACCUAACCAGAAAGCCACGGCUAACUACGUGCCAGCCGCCGCCGUAAUAC
rnacentral:rRNA from 1 species